UAUUUUUUAAUGGAAUUUGAAUUUCUAUACAAAUAGAGCUUGAUGCAAAUCACAAGUAAAAAAUUAAUCAUCUAGUAAAUAAAAAAUGCAUCAUUCACCAUUUUCUAACAUGAGAAACAUUAAGAAUCUGAAUAAAUAUAAGUUAAGCUAUCUUAAGUAAGUUUUAAACGAAUGUGUAUAAAUAUAAUGUGUCCUCCUGGUUGGCAAAAAGAAGCACCAAAUUCAGUGUAAAGGCUAUAUUUAGUUACAAAUCAACAUGUUUUAAUGGAUACCAGUCAAUCAGUGAGAAUCAGCUUCUCUUUAUGAAAAUAAUUUUGAAAGUUCAGAUGCAAAACACUAUUAAAAUUGAUAAUUUAAAUGGAAGUUUCCUGCCUCCUGAUUUAAAUCAUGAUUGACAGUGAUUUAAAUUAAUCCAGUCCACUGUAUUCGUCAAGCAGUAAAGAAGCAAAUAGUCUGAUCUGAUGUGAGUUGUAUUUGGUUAACUAGUCACUGCAAAUUCUCAUAUGAAAUUACCUAUUAAUAAAUCUCAUGAUAUUUGGGCAUUUACCUGCCAUGGGACCAGGUGUGUCCAACAUAGGGUUGAACACAAAUAUCAGUGCUCUGAGCUAUUUGUUUAAACUGAGAACCUGAAUCUACCCAUGUGUGGAUAGUCAUUACUAGCACCAUAGCAAAAAUAGUGGAAACAUGACCUGAAUGCCCUUUCUCAGGGUGAGUAUUCCUCCCUCAGUGGGAAGAAAUCAUAAAUACUUAUUCUUGGGAUAUUUCCAAUGCAAUGAAUAGAGGAAAUUCUAUAGACCAAAAAAAAAAAAAAAAAAUCAGUUCUAGCAGGUAGUAAUGCCUUGAAAUGGUGAGACAUUUUUCACAACUCAGAAGUAGGCUACUAUGUAAGAUCAUAACUUUACUUGCCCUUCUUUCUACCGUUUGAAUGCAGGAAUACAAUGCCCCAAGUAUCUGGUGAUGUAAACACCAACUGCAAUGUAAUCCAUAAAUAUAAGUGCCUACUAACCAAUGUUGCCAACUCCCACCAUUUUAUCUCAAGUCUAGCAAUAUUUAGCACCUAGACCCAAAUUGAUUAAACAAGAAUCUUAGCAUUCCUUUUUGCAGGGUAACACAACUUUUGGAAAUCAUCUCAUCACAUAAUCUGAAGAGUAAACAUCUACCGCAGGUUCCAAAAACCAAUAGAGAGAUGCUGGAGUCAUAGCCACUGAAGAAAGACCCAGCUGAUUUAAAGUACAAGUCAAGGCUCUCUGUUCACAUCCUGAUUUUCACAGCUAAACAACAGGGCAGGAUCUGGCUACAUCAAUGACCGCAUCUUCAUCCAUGACACAUUGAGACAGCUGAGUUCCUCUGGGACAACUCAGAUAAUAAACAAGAGAACAAGGUGUGUGAGAUCCAGAAAUAAGACACUCUUCCUUGAGGGGGCUCAGCAGUGGAAUAAGCUACCAGAAACCAUCAGUUCCCAAACAGGUGCCCACAGAGUGCUGGCAGGUUACAUGGAGCAGGCUCCUCCACUGAAUCCAGUGGCUCUAACACCCUUGCAAGUACCACAAGGGGUUCCAGCUGCUAUUCCAGCCCAUAUGCUGAAACAGCAGACACAGAGGGGUUGUGCUGAAGCUCCGCAGCCUUCUCAUGGCUUGUCAGAGGACAAGUCCACCCCACAUAUUGCCCAACACAAAAUGUGUGUGGGGGGAGGGCAAGUUUGCAUAAAUUUCACCCAUACAUGUCAGUGUCCCUUCAAUAUACACACAGGACUCCUAUUAACAUUGUGGCAGAAACAGACAUGAACUGGAGGCUGAAGGAAUGGAAAAGGAGACUCACGAGAGGGUCUACUUGUAGAAUCUCUUUCUCCUGGCCAAACUCACAGGUACCAUGGGGAGUCUGAUGUCAUGGGCAUUACAGUAACAAUUCAGAAAUUUCAGAGGCUCCAACCAUUCCUGUGACUAUAAGGAAACUGCUAAGUUUGUACAACUCGUGCCUGAACCACAAAACUCAAGAAGCAUAAAUUCUAAAUACGUUACUGUAAAAUCCAGCUUGGAUUGAUACCCUCUGCUAGAUCCGUGUACUGGGCACACGUCUCCUCUCUUCUCUACUGAGCAAUAAGGCUACUGGAGUUUAAGUUUCUGUGAUCUACAUGUAUAAGACAUCCAUGUUCAUGUAACUGACCAUGUAAUAAUUUAGACUCCAAUUAAGUACCUCCUGUUUCCCACUUGUUGCUGAUUUAUUGUUAAUGCAACUUUCAAACAAAUAGCCUUCCUACUAUCCUCAAGAAAGUGAAGCACUGAUAUAUCUGCACAUGUGUUUUUUGGACAAUGUUAUACAAAGGAAAACUGUCACCGUAGCAUCUAGUCAAAAUCAUGAGAGGAGUAGUGGAUAGGACAGAACAAACGGUGGGUCCCAUUCCACCAGUGGGUGGCAGGAAAGUUCUAGCUAGGUUACAGGCCCAGUGUGGAAAGGAGGCCCCAGCAGGGGGUGGGGGCAGGAUUAAAGAGCAAGCCCACCCUGCACUCACCUCACAGUGGCAGCUCCUAUCCUGUGGGGCUGGGCCCAGCUAUCUGCUCUGGACGCCAUGCGCCAAGUCGCAAUGCCACUCACUCAGACUUGGCCCGGCCACCCUGCUGACAUGGAGGGGUGGCCAGGCCAAACCUGAGUGAGUAGCAUUGUGACCCCAUUCGCCAAGCCAUAAUGCCCAGAACGGGGGGCCAGGCCAACCCCAACCAACAGGAGCUGCCAUUAUGGGUUGAGUGUGGGGCAGGCUUCCUCUCUCACCCCCUGCCCCCAGCCUUCCUUCUGCACUGGACUAGGAUUAGGGGGGUAGUGCUGAGUCAGAGGGUACUACUGCAGAUUGUCAAUGCACCCCUGGCAGGGCAAAGAGGCGGUGGCAGUGGCAAAAGACACUGGCCUAUGAACACGUCCCCCCACCCAGUUUGGACCCUGGGUGGGCCAUGCACAAAAAGAAAAGAAAAUGCAGUUGGUGGGUCACCUUAGGAAAAGGUUUGGGAACCAACGAGAUAGGUAGAGCCCUGCAAGUCUGCAGAUAUCUACUGACCACGUUUGCGGAUCAGAUGCAGAUACACAUUUUGUAUCCACGCAGGGCUCCAGCGAUAGGACACUGGCCUGGGAGCUGUCCAGAGUUCUGCAACUGACCUGCUGAAAAAUGGAAGGCAAGCUCUUUCCACCCCCAUGUGUGUCUGUUUCCCCUCCCAUCUCUCAUCUGUGUUGCCUAUUUAGAUUACAAGCUCCUCGAGGCAGGGGCUCUCCCUUCUCUAUUUUGCCUAAUACAGGGGGGCCAGGCCUCAAGCUCAGUUGGGCUCACCGGCCACUACCGUAAUACAAAUAAAAAUAAUAAUGGUCAUUUAAAAAUAUUAUUAUGUGUUAAAAACAGGUUCAGAUAGUACAACUGCACCUGAGUGCCUCUGCCAAUUUUGGGGGUUUUACCCCAGAUUUCCCUUUUAGGGAGGUAGUGUGGCCUACAGGAUAGAUCACUGGACUGGGAUUCCAGACACCAGGGUUCUAUUCCUGGCUCUGCCACUGGUGUUGGGUGACUUUGGACAAGUUACUUUGCCUCUCUGUGCCUCAGUUUCCCCAACUUAUAUGGAGCUUCUUUGUAUAGCACUGUGAAAUUUACUGAAAAGCCCUAUACAAGAGCCAGAUAUUAUUUUUUAAAUGUUUCUCUUCCCUUUUGUUGUAGAAAAUCCCACACAAUCAUCAGGGAAAACUGACUACAGCAAAGUUUUCAUAUUCAGAUAAACUAUUCAAUUGGUACAUUAAAAUGCACAAAAUAAAGAAACCGAAGAAACAAGA